GAUGAACGCUGGCGGCGUGCCUAAUACAUGCAAGUCGAGCGAACAGACGAGGAGCUUGCUCCUCUGACGUUAGCGGCGGACGGGUGAGUAACACGUGGAUAACCUACCUAUAAGACUGGGAUAACUUCGGGAAACCGGAGCUAAUACCGGAUAAUAUAUUGAACCGCAUGGUUCAAUAGUGAAAGACGGUUUUGCUGUCACUUAUAGAUGGAUCCGCGCCGCAUUAGCUAGUUGGUAAGGUAACGGCUUACCAAGGCAACGAUGCGUAGCCGACGUGAGAGGGUGAUCGGCCACACUGGAGCUGGGACACGGUCCAGACUCCUACGGGAGGCAGCAGUAGGGAAUCUUCCGCAAUGGGCGAAAGCCUGACGGAGCAACGCCGCGUGAGUGAUGAAGGUCUUCGGAUCGUAAAACUCUGUUAUUAGGGAAGAACAAAUGUGUAAGUAACUAUGCACGUCUUGACGGUACCGGAUCAGAAAGCCACGGCUAACUACGUG
rnacentral:rRNA from 1 species